GAAAAAGUAACUCAGUGGUUAGAGUGUUGGCUUGUCAUGCCAGUGGCCGCGGGUUCAAAUCCCGUCUUUUUCG
rnacentral:tRNA from 1 species